UACAGAGGGGGCAAGCGUUGUUCGGAAUUACUGGGCGUAAAGGGCGCGUAGGCGGCCAACUAAGUCAGACGUGAAAUCCCUCGGCUUAACCGGGGAACUGCGUCUGAUACUGGAUGGCUUGAGUUUGGGAGAGGGAUGCGGAAUUCCAGGUGUAGCGGUGAAAUGCGUAGAUAUCUGGAGGAACACCGGUGGCGAAGGCGGCAUCCUGGACCAACACUGACGCUGAGUGAGCGAAAGCGUGGGGAGCAAACAGG
rnacentral:rRNA from 1 species